CCGCACAAGCGGUGGAUGAUGUGGUUUAAUUCGAUGCAACGCGAAAAACCUUACCUACCCUUGACAUGUCUGGAAUCCUGAAGAGAUUUGGGAGUGCUCGAAAGAGAGCCAGAACACAGGUGCUGCAUGGCCGUCGUCAGCUCGUGUCGUGAGAUGUUGGGUUAAGUCCCGCAACGAGCGCAACCCUUGUCAUUAGUUGCUACGAAAGGGCACUCUAAUGAGACUGCCGGUGACAAACCGGAGGAAGGUGGGGAUGACGUCAGGUCAUCAUGGCCCUUAUGGGUAGGGCUACACACGUCAUACAAUGGCCGGGGCAGAGGGCUGCCAACCCGCGAGGGGGAGCUAAUCCCAGAAACCCGGUCGUAGUCCGGAUCGUAGUCUGCAACUCGACUGCGUGAAGUCGGAAUCGCUAGUAAUCGCGGAUCAGCUUGCCGCGGUGAAUACGUUCCCGGGUCUUGUACACACCGCCCGUCACACCAUGGGAGCGGGUUCUGCCAGAAGUAGUUAGCCUAACCGCAAGGAGGGCGAUUACCACGGCAGGGUUCGUGACUGGG
rnacentral:rRNA from 1 species